rnacentral:rRNA from 1 species
UACGUAGGGUGCGAGCGUUAAUCGGAAUUACUGGGCGUAAAGCGUGCGCAGGCGGUUUUGUAAGCCAGAUGUGAAAUCCCCGGGCUUAACCUGGGAAUGGCAUUUGGGACUGCAAAGCUUGAGUGCGGCAGAGGGGACUGGAAUUCCUGGUGUAGCAGUGAAAUGCGUAGAGAUCAUGAGGAAGACCAGUGGCGAAGGCGGGUCUCUGGACAGUUCCUGACACUGAGGCACGAAGGCCAGGGGAGCAAACGGG